AAAAAAAAAAAAAAAAAAAAAAAAAAAAAAAAAAAAAAAGAUGAGGCGGCCCGCUGCAUAUAUUUUGAUCGACAUUAGUCAUGUUUUGGAUUGGGCUUAAACAACAGAAGAUAUCAAAUGAAUUAUGAUUCGUUGGAUCUCGUCCACAAAAUUGGAUUGUGAAAUGAAAGAUUAGACAAAGUGAGUUUUCCGAUUAUCUUGUCAAAAUAAAAUCCAAAAGAAACAUCUUUCCUUUCUUUUUGAGUGCUGCUAUUUACCC
rnacentral:lncRNA from 1 species